rnacentral:rRNA from 1 species
UGCAGAAUCCCGUGAACCAUCGAGUCUUUGAACGCAAGUUGCGCCCGAUGCCAUUAGGUUGAGGGCACGUCUGCCUGGGUGUCACAUAUUGAAGCCUCCUGCCAAUAUCCUUUUGACAGGUAUUGUGCGGGGUGAAUGAUGGCCUCCCGUGAGCUCUUUCGUCUCAUGGUUGGUUGAAAAUUGAGACCUUGGUCGGGUGUGCCAUGAUAGAUGGUGGUUGUGUGACCCACGAGACCAAUCAUGCGCUGCUCAAUUGAAUUUGGCCUCUUUUACCCAUAUGCGUUACUAAAUGCUCGUGAUGAGACCUCAGGUCAGGCGGGGCUACCCGCUGAAUUUAAGCAUAUCAAUAAGCGGAGGAAAAGAAACUAACAAGGAUUCCCUUAGUAACGGCGAGCGAACCGGGAUAAGCCCACCAUGAGAAUCGGUCGCCCUCGGCGUUCGA